UUUUAGGCGUUGCGCUAGGGAUUGCAGCGGCAUCCUAUUUUGCUAUUGCUAUAGGUCGAUUAUAAACAAUUACCUUACUUAAAAAUACAAACUUUGUUUCUACAAAAGUAAAGCAAAAUAGAUACAGCGAAAAGCCCGACCCUUA
rnacentral:sRNA from 1 species